rnacentral:rRNA from 1 species
AUGAGUUGCGAACGGGUGAGUAACGCGUAGGUAACCUGCCUGGUAGCGGGGGAUAACUAUUGGAAACGAUAGCUAAUACCGCAUAAAAUUGAUUAUUGCAUGAUAAUUAAUUGAAAGAUGCAAUUGCAUCACUACCAGAUGGACCUGCGUUGUAUUAGCUAGUUGGUGAGGUAACGGCUCACCAAGGCGACGAUACAUAGCCGACCUGAGAGGGUGAUCGGCCACACUGGGACUGAGACACGGCCCAGACUCCUACGGGAGGCAGCAGUAGGGAAUCUUCGGCAAUGGGGGGAACCCUGACCGAGCAACGCCGCGUGAGUGAAGAAGGUUUUCGGAUCGUAAAGCUCUGUUGUAAGAGAAGAACGGGUGUGAGAGUGGAAAGUUCACACUGUGACGGUAUCUUACCAGAAAGGGACGGCUAACUACGUGCCAGCAGCCGCGGUAAUACGUAGGUCCCGAGCGUUGUCCGGAUUUAUUGGGCGUAAAGCGAGCGCAGGCGGUUAGAUAAGUCUGAAGUUAAAGGCUGUGGCUUAACCAUAGUAUGCUUUGGAAACUGUUUAACUUGAGUGCAGAAGGGGAGAGUGGAAUUCCAUGUGUAGCGGUGAAAUGCGUAGAUAUAUGGAGGAACACCGGUGGCGAAAGCGGCUCUCUGGUCUGUAACUGACGCUGAGGCUCGAAAGCGUGGGGAGCAAACAGGAUUAGAUAUCCUGGUAGUCCACGCCGUAAACGAUGAGUGCUAGGUGUUAGGC